ACACAAAGGACGCAGGAAGAACAGGUGCGCACAAAGGCACAAUGGCGGCAGAUCUGCCCGUGGAUCACUGAAGAUUCCUGCUCUCCUGCUGAGGUGGAGAUUGCAGUGAACUAAGAUCACACCAUUGCGCUAGAGCCCGGGCGACAGAGCAAGACUUGGUCUCAAAAAAUAAAUAAAAUAAAAUAAGUACAAUAAAAUAACAAAACAAAACAAAGUAAGAGGAGAUGAUAUCUGGUCGUGUUUUAUGGCCAUCUGGUAAGCUAGAUUCUUUCCUUUGGUUUUAUUGCCAAUCAAUGAUUAGAAAGAAGCAGUUUGCUGUUGGCUUGUUUUUCCCCUCAACUAAAUGUAAGAAAAAAAAAGAGUCAAAAAUACCGAAGCUAAUUUUAAAAUGUAUGUAUAGAGAGAGACUUGGUCUUACCUUGUCAUCCAGGCUGGAGUGCUGUGGUGCCAUCACGGCUCAGGGCAGCUUCGACCUCAUGGGCUCAGGCAAUCCUUUCACAUCAGUCGACCAGAUAGCUGAGAUUACAAAUGUGGGAAACCACACCCUGCUAAUUUCUUGUAUUUUUUGUAGAGUCGGGGUUUCACCUUGUUGCCGAGGCUGGUCUUGAACUCCUGGGCUCAAGCAAUCUUUCUGCUUCUGCCUCCCAAAGUGUUGGGAUUAUAGGCAUGAGCCACCAUUCCCGCCGAAAUAUUUUUGAGAUUCAUAGAGAUGAGUAGGUCAUAAUAAGAGUGCACAACUUGUAGUUAUAUUUAAUAUCUUUUGAAAUUACUCGGCACCCCCAUUGUAAUUUAAAUGAUUUGUUCCUGACCUGGUUUUACUUUGUUCCUGAGGGUUGCAGAUCCCUUGAACAAUAUUCCACGAAUGAAGCAGUGAUAAUAAACCUGCAGCUGCCCCGAGGGGGCGCUGUGCGGAGGUUCACAAAGGGACCUGGGUCUCCCUGGUGCGGAUGCGGGGGCCGCCUCCAUUCUGCUUUCUGACACUGCCACCGCGGGGCCAGGCUUGAUGUGACCCCAUCACUGCUCAGUUCACUACACAGUUUCAUCUUUUGAUAUGGAAGAUUUGACUCCAUCCACGUUCCUUAGGAGGUUACUGGAAAUGACAGCGCUGUAAAUUUCUGGGUAAAUGAGCAGCCAACAUUUUUGGGAGCUGUCACACAACCACACUGCCCUUCCCUCUGCCUGAAAACCUUUAGGCCUGAUUGACUCGGAGAAAGCCCAUUAAACUCAGCCCCCACUGACUUGUUCAUUUCCACUCAAACGUUUGUGAUAGUCCCAACACAAGGCUUGUCCUCCAAGGGACAACUUGUAAACACUUCUAAGAGAAAGGGUUGACUGGGCCCGGUGCCUCACACCUGUAAUCCCGGCACUUUGGGAGGCCGAGGUGGGCAGAUCACUUGAGGUCAAGAGUUUGAGACCAGUCCAUGAUCUUGGCUUGAAGAGGCAAGACCCUAUAGUUUAUUGAACAUUUUAAGCCCAC
rnacentral:lncRNA from 1 species